CGGGUGAGUAACGCGUAGGUAACCUGCCUGGUAGCGGGGGAUAACUAUUGGAAACGAUAGCUAAUACCGCAUAAUAUUAAUUAUUGCAUGAUAAUUGAUUGAAAGGUGCAAAUGCAUCACUACCAGAUGGACCUGCGUUGUAUUAGCUAGUAGGUGAGGUAACGGCUCACCUAGGCGACGAUACAUAGCCGACCUGAGAGGGUGAUCGGCCACACUGGGACUGAGACACGGCCCAGACUCC
rnacentral:rRNA from 1 species